rnacentral:rRNA from 1 species
CACCGCGGUUAUACGAGAGGCUCAAGUUGACAGACAACGGCGUAAAGCGUGGUUAAGGAAAAUAUAUUACUAAAGCGGAACCUCCCCCUAGCUGUUAUACGCUUCCGAGGAAGUGAACUCCAACUACGAAAGUGGCUUUACCUAACCUGAACCCACGAAAGCUAAGAAA